rnacentral:rRNA from 1 species
UACGAAGGGGGCUAGCGUUGUUCGGAAUCACUGGGCGUAAAGGGCGCGUAGGCGGCUUUUCAAGUCGGGGGUGAAAGCCUGUGGCUCAACCACAGAAUUGCCUUCGAUACUGUUAGGCUUGAGACCGGAAGAGGUGAGUGGAAUUCCCAGUGUAGCGGUGAAAUGCGUAGAUAUUGGGAAGAACACCGAUGGCGAAGGCAGCCAUCUGGACCGACACUGACGCUGAGGCGCGAAAGCGUGGGGAGCAAACAGG